UGGCGGACGGGUGAGUAAUGUCUGGGAAACUGCCCGAUGGAGGGGGAUAACUACUGGAAACGGUAGCUAAUACCGCAUAACGUCGCAAGACCAAAGAGGGGGACCUUGGGCCUCUUGCCAUCGGAUGUGCCCAGAUGGGAUUAGCUAGUAGGUGGGGUAACGGCUCACCUAGGCGACGAUCCCUAGCUGGUCUGAGAGGAUGACCAGCCACACUGGGACUGAGACACGGCCAG
rnacentral:rRNA from 1 species